GGUCUGAUCGUAUAACGGUUAGUACACAAGAUCCAGAUUCUUGUAAUCUGGGUUCGAUUCCCAGUCGGACCU
rnacentral:tRNA from 1 species